CCCAGGGAUCAAACCCGCAUCUCCUAUGUCUCUUGCGUUGAAGGCCGAUUCUUUACCUGCUGAGCCACUGGGAAAACCAAGGAUGCCCAAUUAGUAAGAAAAAGGCACAUAUCAAUUGACAUCUCAGUUGGUGAAAUUUGAGGAAACAGCAUGAAUGAAACUCACCAUCAAGGGUGGCAGAGGCUGGAUGGACCUUGGCCGGGGUUGAGUUUGGAGGAGCCUGGCUGGCAGCGAGGGAAGGAAUAAGGUGAUGACCACUAGAAGUCUCUUUUAUUCCUGGGAUGAGAACGUGUCAAACAUCUGCUGACAACCACGCUGAGCUUGUUCAGGUUGAGUGGACAUCUUUGUGAGUCCUUGCGAAUGUGCAAAUACAGGAUCUCCAGCAUUUGGCAGAAGUGGACAGACAAACAGCCUCCUCAGCUGGACUGACCUGUGAAUGCAGACACCACGUCACCCAUCUCUCCACUUAUAGGAACUGGUGGUGUAUAUUUGCCGAGUUGAUGAUUGUGGCUCAAAUUAGAUUCCUCCUCAUCUCCCGGGUAAGUGCAUAAAAGAAUUGGGUUAGCCAAAAUGUUCAUUUGAGUUUUUUCAUAGCAUGUUAUGGAAAAACUCUAACAAAGGUUUUUGCCAACCCAAUACAAAACCAUCUUCUCCACUGACAUAAAAUCAUGCAUAUUGCUUCUUUCUCCCACCCAUUUUCUUUAGUUAAAGACCACUGAGU